rnacentral:tRNA from 1 species
AAGGUGGCUGAGAUUAAUUAGGCGUUAGAUUGUAAAUCUAUUUACGGAUUUUGGUCCUCUUA